rnacentral:rRNA from 1 species
CCUACGGGAGGCAGCAGUGAGGAAUAUUGGUCAAUGGACGAGAGUCUGAACCAGCCAAGUAGCGUGAAGGAUGACUGCCCUAUGGGUUGUAAACUUCUUUUAUAUGGGAAUAAAAUGUUCCACGUGUGGGAUUUUGUAUGUACCAUAUGAAUAAGGAUCGGCUAACUCCGUGCCAGCAGCCGCGGUAAUACGGAGGAUCCGAGCGUUAUCCGGAUUUAUUGGGUUUAAAGGGAGCGUAGGUGGAUUGUUAAGUCAGUUGUGAAAGUUUGCGGCUCAACCGUAAAAUUGCAAUUGAUACUGGCAGUCUUGAUUACAGUUGAGUUCGGCUGACUUCGUGGUGUAGCCGUGAAAUGCUUAGAUAUCACGAAGAACCCCGAUUGCGAAGGCAGCUUACUAAACUGUGACUGACAUUGAUGCUCGAAAGUGUGGGUAUCAAACAGGCUUAGCUACCCCUGUAGUC